ensembl:snRNA U6 U6 spliceosomal RNA
GUGCUCACUUCGGCAGUACAUGUGCUAAAACUGGAACGAUACAGAGUCAGCGUGGUCCCUGAGCAAGGGUGACGUGCAAAUUUGUGAAGUGAAAUACUGCUAU